GCCGCCAUAAACUCCUCUUCAGAAAACAAUGGAUUCCUUGGGAAAGCAGUUGUCGUUUUAUUCUUUAUGUAUUAUUGGAUUUAGCAUUGAUAAUCCUUCUUGGCUGGCUACAAAAUCGAAAGUCUCCUUAAAGCUGAAAACGAUCUCUCACACUCACAAGAGGUUACGGGAAUGAUUCCUAAAAUUCUCAACAAAACUUUAAUAUUCUCAAACCCCGGAAAGUUAAUGGCUUUUAGGGUUGAACUAAUAUUAUCAGGAAGACUACCUUAGAUUUCCAAUAUGUUUCCCACAAUUCAAGCUCACCAUCCAAAGCAAUAGAAUUUGGAAGAUUAUCAUUAAACAUGGUAGCAAAUAAAGUGAACUUAUCCUGCCAGCGUGCGGAUCCAGACUUGGAAUGAGAGAGAAAAGAAAUUAAUUAUGAUGGAAUUAGAUAUAAACCAUAGUUAACAUUAGUAGAAAAUUCUUCAAA